UAUAAGAAUGGACAGGAAGUAAUUUGGCGAGGAAUUACUUUCUGUAAAAGCAGACGACUAAUGGCCUCAAGACAACAGUUGCAGCUGAGUCUCCUAUGAGAGUCUUGGAGCUGGAUGCCGUUGCAAUUCAGCACGUUUAUAUUUACAUUGAUGAGGCUGGCUUCAACCUAGCCAAAAGAAGGGGACGCAACAUUCAUAAUGGCCAAUAAUGUUCCUGGACAGUGUUGAGGGAAUAUCACCAUGUGCGCAGCCGUUAGCCAGCAAGGUGUCCUCCAUCACCAUGCCAACCUUGGUCCCUACAACAACCCCCCCCUUCUCAUCACAUUCCUGGACACACUACAUGGCAUCCUCAUUUCAGCGGAGCAGAGGGGUGGACCAGAGCAGCCCAGGUAUGUUGUCAUCUGAGACAACGUGAGUUUCCACCGGGCUGUUCUGGUCCGCAACUGGUUCAUUGACCACCCACAAUUUAUUGUUCUAUACCUCCCACCAUAUUCCCCAUUCCUAAAGCCAACUGAAGAGUUUUUCGGCAUGGCGACGGAAGGUGCAUGACCUCCAUCCCCUCGCACGCAUGCCUCUUUUCCAGGCAAUAGAGGAUGCAUGUGGUGAAGUUCCUGGGGGGCUUUCAGCGGCUGGAUCCGUCACUCCAGAAGAUUCUUUCCCCGCUGUUUAGCCAGGGAGAACAUUGGCUUGUGAUGUAGAUGAGGUGCUGUGGCUAGACCAAAAUAGGAGGCAGGAUGCAGCCUAAUGCAUUUUUUCCUUACAUUUUGCAUGUAUUUUUGUCUUUAGAGUUUUGAAAGAAACAGCCAGUCCUUUUUGUUGUACAGAAAACCCUUUAUUUUACUGAAUGCUUUUCCUGGAUUUCUGCUGUUGAGUAUGGAAAGUGUUACAUACAAAACACAAGUAUUCAAAAAUACUGCAUUUUAAUGACAAUGUUUUUGUUACUGUAUUGCAUUUAUGUAUAUUUUAGUAGGUAUACAUUACUGAACAAUCUUUUACAAAACAGGCUACAGUGUAACACUGAAAAUGCAAAAGGCAUAAACCUACUGAUGGGAUAUUCACAGUAGUGUUUUGAGCACAUAAGUGUGUUGGUUAGUAGACAGAUCUAUUCAUAUGACGCAUGUGUGUCAUUUUGAUGCAAAAAACAUUUUGGAAAGAGAAAAACGGUUUUGAAUGCAGUGUUUGCUUUUGCUA